UAGCACAGAGAGCUUGCUCUCGGGUGACGAGCGGCGGACGGGUGAGUAAUGUCUGGGAAACUGCCUGAUGGAGGGGGAUAACUACUGGAAACGGUAGCUAAUACCGCAUAACGUCGCAAGACCAAAGUGGGGGACCUUCGGGCCUCAUGCCAUCAGAUGUGCCCAGAUGGGAUUAGCUAGUAGGUGGGGUAAUGGCUCACCUAGGCGACGAUCCCUAGCUGGUCUGAGAGGAUGACCAGCCACACUGGAACUGAGACACGGUCCAGACUCCUACGGGAGGCAGCAGUGGGGAAUAUUGCACAAUGGGCGCAAGCCUGAUGCAGCCAUGCCGCGUGUAUGAAGAAGGCCUUCGGGUUGUAAAGUACUUUCAGCGAGGAGGAAGGCGUUAAGGUUAAUAACCUUGGCGAUUGACGUUACUCGCAGAAGAAGCACCGGCUAACUCCGUGCCAGCAGCCGCGGUAAUACGGAGGGUGCAAGCGUUAAUCGGAAUUACUGGGCGUAAAGCGCACGCAGGCGGUCUGUCAAGUCGGAUGUGAAAUCCCCGGGCUCAACCUGGGAACUGCAUUCGAAACUGGCAGGCUAGAGUCUUGUAGAGGGGGGUAGAAUUCCAGGUGUAGCGGUGAAAUGCGUAGAGAUCUGGAGGAAUACCGGUGGCGAAGGCGGCCCCCUGGACAAAGACUGACGCUCAGGUGCGAAAGCGUGGGGAGCAAACAGGAUUAGAUACCCUGGUAGUCCACGCCGUAAACGAUGUCGACUUGGAGGUUGUGCCCUUGAGGCGUGGCUUCCGGAGCUAACGCGUUAAGUCGACCGCCUGGGGAGUACGGCCGCAAGGUUAAAACUCAAAUGAAUUGACGGGGGCCCGCACAAGCGGUGGAGCAUGUGGUUUAAUUCGAUGCAACGCGAAGAACCUUACCUGGUCUUGACAUCCACAGAACUUUCCAGAGAUGGAUUGGUGCCUUCGGGAACUGUGAGACAGGUGCUGCAUGGCUGUCGUCAGCUCGUGUUGUGAAAUGUUGGGUUAAGUCCCGCAACGAGCGCAACCCUUAUCCUUUGUUGCCAGCGGUCCGGCCGGGAACUCAAAGGAGACUGCCAGUGAUAAACUGGAGGAAGGUGGGGAUGACGUCAAGUCAUCAUGGCCCUUACGACCAGGGCUACACACGUGCUACAAUGGCAUAUACAAAGAGAAGCGACCUCGCGAGAGCAAGCGGACCUCAUAAAGUAUGUCGUAGUCCGGAUUGGAGUCUGCAACUCGACUCCAUGAAGUCGGAAUCGCUAGUAAUCGUAGAUCAGAAUGCUACGGUGAAUACGUUCCCGGGCCUUGUACACACCGCCCGUCACACCAUGGGAGUGGGUUGCAAAAGAAGUAGGUAGCU
rnacentral:rRNA from 1 species